rnacentral:lncRNA from 1 species
CGCUCUCCUAAGAGCAGCGGCUGGGUCUCCCUGUGGUGAGGCUUCAGAGCCCGGGGUGGGCCCCCCACACCGAUGCCACGCGUACUGCGCUCCGCUUCACUUUUGGCUUUGAGAGGAGAGAUGGCGGCAGGCGUUGGAGGCAGACUGCUGACACGGCCGCUGCAGCUGGAGCUGGAGAGGAGCAAGUGGCAAAAGGAAAUGCAAUUCCCUGUUCGAAUACUCUCAGCAGAAGCCUCCGUCUCUGUAGACAUCUGCGAUGUGUGUACUGAAGUGGUUGAACAUCCUUGGAUUACCCAUGAUGAGAAAGUGCUUUCUAUGAAACAAAAGAUCCAAACCAAAGCCCAAAGGUGACUUCAGGAAAAAAUCUUGAAUACUAUGGGAAAACUAAUUUCUGCUGUUUUCCCAUGAUCCCGUCCUCAGCAGUAUUUCUUUGGAACUGGAGAUCACAGUCCCUGACAGGAUCUUUGGCAGCAUCAAGUAAGAAUUGACUGCAUCCUGGCUCUCAGGAAGGCGUUCAGGGCUCCUACUUCACUGAGCAAAG